rnacentral:rRNA from 1 species
CUCCGUGCCAGCAGCCGCGGUAAUACGGAGGGGGGUUAGCGUUGUUCGGAAUUACUGGGCGUAAAGCGCGCGUAGGCGGAUCAGAAAGUUGGGGGUGAAAUCCCGGGGCUCAACCUCGGAACUGCCUUCAAAACUCCUAGUCUAGAGUUCGAGAGAGGUGAGUGGAACUCCCGAGUGUAGAGGUGAAAAUUCGUAGAUAUUCGGAAGAACACCAGUGGCGAAGGCGGCUCACUGGCUCGAUACUGACGCUGAGGUGCGAAAGUGUGGGGAGCAAACAGGAUUAGAACCCCUGGUAG